AUCCAGCUGAUGAGUCUCAAAUAGGAUGAAACUUGCGUCCUAGAU
rfam:Schistosoma haematobium scaffold370_5, whole genome shotgun sequence.